CCUUGGCUGACUUAAUCAGAAGUGAUGAUCUCAGCCAAUCACAAAGUUUUUUGAUGAUCUUAGCCAAAUGCAAGCCCGGCCACUCAGAAUCUCCUCAUAGAGAUGCAGUGAAUCAAUGCAUCUCUAUGAGGAAAGUUUAAUGUCUCCAUGCAGAGGGUGGUGACACUGGAUGUGACAGCAUUGCCCCAGAAAGACCCUCUAGUG